rnacentral:lncRNA from 1 species
UGAAUGGAUCCAGUGACUGUUGGAACUGUGGGUUGUCUCCCUUGGGAGAAAGUGUGAGAACUUUAAGAUGGUUGUAUCUUGUUUGGUGGAAAUAUAGUGUAUGUAGAUAUUUAGGAGUUUCAAUUUGUAUAUAAGAGUACAUAUGGAAGAUAAAUGGUCAAAGGGGUAGAGUGUGCCAAUGAUUAAUUCGUUGCCUCUCAAUGAUCAAUUCAUUGCCCUUUGUUUACUCUUUGUUAUAAGUGCCUGAUUAUUUACUUGUUCUCAACAGGAUGGUCUUUUGACUCUUACACAAGCAACUUACUCUUUAGCUAAUAUAAUAAUUGUAAGAACAUGAAAUAGUUAUGCUACUGUUCAGCAUUGUAAUUAAGAUUAUUUCCUUAUGUAAAGAGUCAUUGAAUGUCACAGAAAAUAAAGCAUGUUGGACACAUUAUUCAUUUUAAAUAAUAUUGUACAGUGGGGGCUGGCACAAGAGGCUCUGGAGAAUUUUACUCAUUUUAAUCAGAAAGCCAUAGCCAUUGACUUAAUUAACAGUCUUUUCCUGCUCAGUUUCCUAUAAGUUCAAAAGUGAUCAAUUAUCUUUUAAUUCUCAUCUCUAUCUAAGGUUUUACAAGCAACUAAUAUGGUAAGAUUGGGAUGUUGAAGUAGCUGGUAUUUAUGUGAAGACCUCUUAGAAACUCCAAGUAAAUGUCUGUGUUCUAUGAAAGUUCAAUUUGCUGUGGGUAUCUUAUGGGCAUUACUAGCUUCUGCACAUAUAUACCCUUCAACUAUAAAGUGAAACCUGGCAUUUUUAUGUUUGUGAAUUGAAACCAACAUUUUCAUGUUUGUGAAAGGCCAAACCUGUGCUUUCAAGUCUGUAGCAAUCACUGAGAAUUGGGGAUUAAACACCCUUAAAACAAACAGGACCUGUGACAGCUUCAAACAAGUGGGUGCCAGGAAGGGGCACUAACAUGCACAGACACGAGGAGCUCUGAGGAUAUGAGACUGCACGAGCAACAGAACAAGGUGGGAGGGAGCGUGUUGAUCCUUCACCGUCAAUCAACAAACCGCUCAAGGAAAGAGAAAGAAAUGUGCUCCUUCCUGAAGACUUCCCCCACCUCCCACCUCAUGCCAUGCUGUCAAAAAUGAUUCCUCUGUACUCACCUGGUCCCACAGGGUUUCAGUGAUGGUUACCUGUUUUUCCUGUAGAAAUAAGGAACAAAUGUUGGAAACAAUAUCCCAACUCUCCCAGAAUCUGAAGUGACACAUUAUGAAACUGGUGGAAGACAAGAUGUUUCUUGGAAUUGAGCUGGACACCCAAAAUCACCCCAUUUCUCAGGCAGCCAAAAGUCUCCUGCAGCCCUGGUGAAUCAUUUCAUCCCAUAUAUCCUGCUUCGCUCUGGAUCUAGCUGGUGCAUGACAGGAAUUAGAAGCCCCAGAGGAUCCAGAGAAUUUGGAUACCUUACCCACCUGUGGUCUCAUUGUCUCUUCUAUGGAUGUGCUGCAAAGAAAGAAUGAUAUAAACCUGAUGAGGAGCACAGAAUGUGGGCUAAAGCCUUCUCCUAACUCUAUUCUAUCACUCCUAGCAGGAAUUCUUGAAGUUUCUAUACUAAAAAUCCAGGAAGGGUAGCCACGGUCCUGCCUCUCAUAUCCCUUUAUGGGAGGUGUGGGGAGAGAUACUUGCCUCAUCUUCCAAGUAUCUUGACUAUUGUGGAAGCCCUUUGAGAACUCUAAAGCAUAGAACAAUGGAAGUGAAGGUGAUGGACACUGUCAUUAAACCUUGUCAUUCUCCUGCCUGCCUAAUUUAUGUCCACUCUCUACCCUUCACCCCGCCUAACCUGUCAAACUUCCCAGGUCCUCUUUGGAAAGUACACUCAAUUAGCAAACUGCUUCCUUUUUUAUCCCCCGAAAAAGUGUUCUUUUCCUUCGUGACUUCUGAUGGGGUGGGAAUGGGGAUGGAAGGCUGAAGAAGUGGAAAGAUUUGCUUAUUCUUGGCAGCACAACUGAAGCUCUUAUUCCUAAAUACCAUCUCAUUCCUAAAUCAGUGCCAAAGUCACCUAGGAGGCAGUGUAUACAGAUAAACAGGUAACUGGAAGAAAGAAGAAGGGUGAAAGUGAGUGAAAUCGGGGCAACCAGUCUGCUCUACCAUGCUCGCUGAUCCUGAGCAAACUCAGCUUCAUCUCCUUGCCCAGGGGUUCCUGCUAGUACAGUUCCUGCCAUUACAAAAAGCAGUAAGUUUUUCUAAACAGGGCUAGGGAGGCCAGUAGUCACAGGGAGUCUGGGGACCCAGAAUAGAGAGAAAACUGGGCUCUAGAUGACACUGUAGUUCAAGACCAGCUUGGGCAACAUAGUGAGACCUUGUCUCUACAAACAAAACAAAACAAAACAAAACAAAACCAACAACAAACAAAACAGCAGAAACAACAUCAAAAACCCAGUCAGGCAUGGUGGCAGGCACUUGUAGUCCUAGCUUACUCAGGAGGCUGAGACAGGAGGAUUGCUUGAGCCCAGGAGUUCGAGGCUGCAGUGAGCUAUGAUUGUGAUACUGCACUCUAGCCUCGGCAACAGAGCAA